GCGCUUUGAGACACACUGCCCUUUAACUGAAGUUAAAUCUAACUGAAGUUAAAUCUAAUUCCUUUGGGGGCAUUCUCUACAAAUCCUUCAAUCAGGGAGGCAAUACCUUGAUUAUCCUGAGGUUGGAAAGAUAUUCUUCCCAGUCACCAGGACAGGACUGAGCAGGAACAACACUUUUGUGACCAAAACAAGUCCUUGCAAACAGAUCAGGGAUGGAAAUGUCUUUGAGGGUCAGGCCUCUCUUUUGAAUCCUUCUUUUUUUGGUUCCAUUGGACUCUUUAGCAGGAAUGAAGGAGGAAGAAUAUUUGAGAAGAAGGUUUGGGGUGUGGUUUUCAUCUGGCUACAGGAGCUGAGGUUUGCAAGGCUGUGCCCAAGGCCAAGGCCAAAUGUACUCCAAGAAUCCUCCUCUCCUAGUAAAACACCAGAAAUAUCCUAUGAGAUGGAUGCUGUGAUCCCCACUGUAUGGACGAGGAAAUGGAGGCAUGGCUGGUAAGAGAUCCAACCACGGUUUGAAGUCAGAUAUAGUGUGACUCCAGAAAGAAAAUACAAAGAGGGGCAAAGAUAGCCUGUAAUCCCGCUGCAAGAUAACUGAGUUCCCUUCUCUUACCCAUCAGAGCUUUCUUAAAAUUUCCUGUAUUCUUCUGGAAAAGAAAAU